UACGUAGGGUGCAAGCGUUAAUCGGAAUUACUGGGCGUAAAGCGUGCGCAGGCGGUUGUGCAAGACAGAUGUGAAAUCCCCGGGCUUAACCUGGGAACUGCAUUUGUGACUGCACGGCUAGAGUGCGGCAGAGGGGGAUGGAAUUCCGCGUGUAGCAGUGAAAUGCGUAGAUAUGCGGAGGAACACCGAUGGCGAAGGCAGCCUCCUGGGUCAAUAUUGACGCUCAGGCACGAAAGCGUGGGGAGCAAACAGG
rnacentral:rRNA from 1 species